AAACUUAAAGAAAUUGACGGAAGGGCACCACCAGGAGUGGAGCCUGUGGCUUAAUUUGACUCAACACGGGAAAUCUCACCAGGCCCGGACACUGGAAGGAUUGACAGAUUGAUGGCUCUUUCUUGAUUCGGUGGGUGGUGGUGCAUGGCCGUUCUUAGUUGGUGGAGUGAUUUGUCUGGUUAAUUCCGAUAACGAACGAGACUCUGUCCUGCUAAAUAGUGUCUGCUUCUCUUUUGAGCAGACAAUUCUUCUUAGAGGGACUGGCGACUCUUAGUCGCACGAGAUUGAGCAAUAACAGGUCUGUGAUGCCCUUAG
rnacentral:rRNA from 1 species